GCCAAAGAUGUGACUAUA
rnacentral:snRNA from 1 species